rnacentral:rRNA from 1 species
AGGAAAAGAAACCAACAGGGAUUGCCUCAGUAACGGCGAGUGAAGCGGCAAAAGCUCAAAUUUGAAAUCUGGUACCUUUGGUGCCCGAGUUGUAAUUUGAAGAUAGUUUUCUGGUGCUGGCCCUUGUCUAUGUUCCUUGGAACAGGACGUCACAGAGGGUGAGAAUCCCGUCUGGCGGGGUGUCCAGUGCUUUGUAGAUUUCUAUCGACGAGUCGAGUUGUUUGGGAAUGCAGCUCUAAGUGGGUGGUAAAUUCCAUCUAAAGCUAAAUAUUGGCGAGAGACCGAUAGCGAACAAGUACAGUGAUGGAAAGAUGAAAAGAACUUUGAAAAGAGAGUGAAAAAGUACGUGAAAUUGUUGAAAGGGAAGGGUAUUAGAUCAGACUUGGUGUUUUGUGAUUAUCUUCCCUUCUUGGGUUGUGCACUCGCAUUUCACUGGGCCAGCAUCGGUUCGGGUGGUAAGAUAAUGACAUUGGAACGUGGCACUACCUUCGGGUGGUGUGUUAUAGCCC